CCUACGGGUGGCAGCAGUGGGGAAUAUUGCACAAUGGGGGAAACACUGAUGCAGCGAAGCCGCGUGAAGGAAGAAGGAUUUUGGUAUUUAAACUUCUAUCAGCAGGGAAGAAAAUGACGGUACCUGACUAAGAAGCCCCGGCUAACUACGUGCCAGCAGCCGCGGUACUACGUAGGGUGCAAGCGUUAUCCGGAUUUACUGGGUGUAAAGGGAGCGUAGGCGGUUUAGCAAGUCAGAAGUGAAAGCCCGGGGCUCAACUCCGGGACUGCUUUUGAAACUGUUGAACUAGAUUGCAGGAGAGGUAAGUGGAAUUCCUAGUGUAGCGGUGAAAUGCGUAGAUAUUAGGAGGAACACCAGUGGCGAAGGCGGCUUACUGGAGUGUAAAUGACGCUGAGGCUCGAUAGCGUGGGGAGCGAACAGGAUUAGAUACCCCUGUAGUC
rnacentral:rRNA from 1 species